rnacentral:tRNA from 1 species
GCGGGUGUAGUUCAAUGGCAGAACAACGGCCUUCCAAGCCGUAUAUGACGGUUCGAUUCCGUUCACCCGCU